GCUGUCCCACGCGCCGGGUCCCGUUGGCGCCGGGGCCUCCUGGGACGGCCUGGCCGCGGCCUGCGGGUGUAGGCGCCUCGGCGGCCACCGCGUCCCCAGGGGGCCUCGCGGACGGGGGCGCGGGGCUGCGGGGAGGAGGCGGGCGGGCCCCUCGGGCGACACCGCGGGGCGGGCGGCGGGAAGCCCGGACUCAGCGGUUUCCUGGGCAACCGGCCUCCUCCGGCGCGGCCCGCGCGGCUCCAGGUGGCGGGAGGCGGCGGUUGGCGGGAAGGGCCGCGCGGGCCCGGGGGCGGCGCCUCAGGUAGCAGCGCCAGGUGGCGCCCGUGGGCGGCGGGGCUCCCGGGGAGGCGCCUGCUCCCGCCCACGCCGGGCCCGGCCUUCGCGAGCUUCCUUCUGGAUUCCAGCGCGAAGCCGCCGCGGAAACUCCCCGGGCGGGCAUCGGAGCUCUGGGGCGGGGCGGCCGGGCUCAGAGGGCGGGCGGGAGCAGGCGGGCGGCGAGGGCGGGCAGCAGCAGCGGGAGCAGGGGCGCCCCGGGCGCCGGGGCCGCUGGGGACGAACGCGGCGGGUCAGGCCCCGAAGCCCGGGCCGCGGUGGCCGCCUCAGGCGCCCGCUCUGGGGUGGGGGUGGGGGCAUCUUUCGGGACCGAACUCGCCGCAGCCUCCCUCUUUGUGCUCCUUUCCCCUGCUGCCCUUCCAGAUGCGCUCUUUCCAGAAAGGCAGCACACGCAUGUCUCUGCCGUGGCCCCAGAUCCUCCCCGCGCCGCCGUUUUGAGCGUUCACACUCAUUACCCAGGUCCGUCUGGGAGACCCGCCGGGCUCCCGCCCUCCCGGCCCGCAGCCUCCUGGCCAAAAUCCUCCCGGGACACCCCACCUGGACUGCUGCGAACGGGCCUCCACCCGCCUCCCCGGACCCGCAGCGCCCCCCGCUCCCUCAGGGUUCUGGGGUGAAGGGGUCUGAAUAGCACCAGGGGAGGCGGCAGGGCGGGCCUGUCCUACCUGCGCCCGAGCACUGCUGAGACGACAUCCCUUCCAGCGCCGCCACGUAGUCCAGCCCCAGCCAGCCGCGAUAUCUCCCCACAAACCUAAACAAUUUCGAGAGGGACUUGUGUUCUGCAACCAGUCACAGAAUAUCAGGUGAGCUGGGCGUGUCUUCACUGACCCACCCGCCCAGGGAUGCUGCACUCCUCUCCACCCUGCUCAGAAUCACUAGAAUGACCGUUCUGUGGCUACAGCCCUAAAAGAGCUACUAAAAAGACCAGAAGUAGUAUGAGAACUUAUGAAUACGAAUAUAAAUAAAGGACAUCUGGAGAACAUGCA
rnacentral:lncRNA from 1 species